GACAGAGGGUGCAAACGUUGUUCGGAAUUACUGGGCGUAAAGCGUGUGUAGGCGGCUUCGUAAGUCGGAUGUGAAAGCCCCGGGCUCAACCCGGGAAGUGCACUCGAUACUGCGAAGCUUGAGUACUGGAGAGGUUGGUGGAAUUCUCGGUGUAGAGGUGAAAUUCGUAGAUAUCGAGAGGAACACCAGUGGCGAAGGCGGCUUUCUGGUCUGUAACUGACGCUGAGGCGCGAAAGCGUGGGGAGCAAACAGG
rnacentral:rRNA from 1 species